rnacentral:rRNA from 1 species
UACGUAGGGUGCAAGCGUUAAUCGGAAUUACUGGGCGUAAAGCGUGCGCAGGCGGUUUUGUAAGACAGAUGUGAAAUGCCCGGGCUUAACCUGGGAACUGCAUUUGUGACUGCAAGGCUAGAGUUUGGCAGAGGGGGGUAGAAUUGCAGGUGUAGCGGUGAAAUGCGUAGAGAUGUGGAGGAACACCAGUGGCGAAGGCGGCUUUCUGGUCUGUAACUGACGCUGAGGCGCGAAAGCUAGGGUAGCAAACGGG